rnacentral:rRNA from 1 species
ACAUGCAAGUCGAGGGGCAGCAUGGUCUUAGCUUGCUAAGGCCGAUGGCGACCGGCGCACGGGUGAGUAACACGUAUCCAACCUGCCGUCUACUCUUGGACAGCCUUCUGAAAGGAAGAUUAAUACAAGAUGGCAUCAUGAGUCCGCAUGUUCACAUGAUUAAAGGUAUUCCGGUAGACGAUGGGGAUGCGUUCCAUUAGAUAGUAGGCGGGGUAACGGCCCACCUAGUCUUCGAUGGAUAGGGGUUCUGAGAGGAAGGUCCCCCACAUUGGAACUGAGACACGGUCCAAACUCCUACGGAAGGCAGCAGUGAGGAAUAUUGGCCAAUGGGCGAGAGCCUGAACCAGCCAAGUAGCGUGAAGGAUGACUGCCCUAUGGGUUGUAAACUUCUUUUAUAAAGGAAUAAAGUCGGGUAUGCAUACCCGUUUGCAUGUACUUUAUGAAUAAGGAUCGGCUAACUCCGUGCCAGCAGCCGCGGUAAUACGGAGGAUCCGAGCGUUAUCCGGAUUUAUUGGGUUUAAAGGGAGCGUAGAUGGAUGUUUAAGUCAGUUGUGAAAGUUUGCGGCUCAACCGUAAAAUUGCAGUUGAUACUGGAUAUCUUGAGUGCAGUUGAGGCAGGCGGAAUUCGUGGUGUAGCGGUGAAAUGCUUAGAUAUCACGAAGAACUCCGAUUGCGAAGGCAGCCUGCUAAGCUGCAACUGACAUUGAGGCUCGAAAGUGUGGGUAUCAAACAGGAUUAGAUACCCUGGUAGUCCACACGGUAAACGAUGAAUACUCGCUGUUUGCGAUAUACAGCAAGCGGCCAAGCGAAAGCGUUAAGUAUUCCACCUGGGGAGUACGCCGGCAACGGUGAAACUCAAAGGAAUUGACGGGGGCCCGCACAAGCGGAGGAACAUGUGGUUUAAUUCGAUGAUACGCGAGGAGCCUUACCCGGGCUUAAAUUGCAGAUGAAUUACGGUGAAAGCUGUAAGCCGCAAGGCAUCUGUGAAGGUGCUGCAUGGUUGUCGUCAGCUCGUGCCGUGAGGUGUCGGCUUAAGUGCCAUAACGAGCGCAACCCUUGUUGUCAGUUACUAACAGGUUCCGCUGAGGACUCUGACAAGACUGCCAUCGUAAGAUGUGAGGAAGGUGGGGAUGACGUCAAAUCAGCACGGCCCUUACGUCCGGGGCUACACACGUGUUACAAUGGGGGGUACAGAGGGCCGCUACCACGCGAGUGGAUGCCAAUCCCCAAAACCUCUCUCAGUUCGGACUGGAGUCUGCAACCCGACUCCACGAAGCUGGAUUCGCUAGUAAUCGCGCAUCAGCCACGGCGCGGUGAAUACGUUCCCGGGCCUUGUACACACCGCCCGUCAAGCCAUGGGAGCCGGGGGUACCUGAAGUGCGUAACCGCGAGGAGCGCCCUAGGGUAAAACUGGUGACUGGGGCUAAGUCAUAA